rnacentral:rRNA from 1 species
ACGGGGAGCACCACAACAGGUGGAGCCUGCGGUUUAAUCGGACUCAACGCCGGGAAACUCACCAGAUAAGACAGCUGAAUGAUAGUCGGGCUGGAGACUCUACUUGACUAGCUGAGAGGAGGUGCAUGGCCGUCGUCAGUUCGUACUGUGAAGCAUCCUGUUAAGUCAGGCAACGAGCGAGACCCACGCCAACAGUUGCCAGCUCGUCCUCCGGGAUGGUGGGGACACUGUUGGGACCGCCUCUGCUAAAGAGGAGGAAGGAAUGGGCAACGGUAGGUCAGCAUGCCCCGAAUUAUCUGGGCUACACGCGGGCUACAAUGGGUGGGACAAUGGGUAUCGACACCGAAAGGUGAAGGCAAUCUCCUAAACCCAUCCGUAGUUCGGAUUGUGGGCUGCAACUCGCCCACAUGAAGCUGGAAUCUGUAGUAAUCGUGUCUCAAAAUGGCACGGUGAAUAUGUCCCUGCUCCUU